GACCCUCCCGGCCUCCCGCCUCCGGGCGGGUCGGCGCCCGCCGGAGGAUAACCAAACUCUGAUUUAACGACGUUUCUUCUGAGUGGUACAAGCAAAUAAUCAAAACUUUUAACAACGGAUCUCUUGGUUCUGGCAUCGAUGAAGAACGCAGCGAAAUGCGAUAAGUAAUGUGAAUUGCAGAAUUCAGUGAAUCAUCGAAUCUUUGAACGCACAUUGCGCCCGCCAGCAUUCUGGCGGGCAUGCCUGUUCGAGCGUCAUUUCAACCCUCAAGCUCUGCUUGGUGUUGGGGCCCUACAGCUGAUGUAGGCCCUCAAAGGUAGUGGCGGACCCUCUCGGAGCCUCCUUUGCGUAGUAACUUUACGUCUCGCACUGGGAUCCGGAGGGACUCUUGCCGUAAAACCCCCAAUUUUCCAAAGGUUGACCUCGGAUCAGGUAGGAAUACCCGCUGAACUUAAGCAUAUC
rnacentral:rRNA from 1 species